rnacentral:rRNA from 1 species
CCUACGGGAGACAGCAGUGAGGAAUAUUGGUCAAUGGUCGGGAGCCUGAACCAGCCAAGCCGCGUGAGGGAGGACGGUACAGUGUAUCGUAAACCUCUUUUGUCAGGGAACAAAGACUGGGACGCGUCCCCGGUUGAGUGUACCUGAAGAAUAAGCAUCGGCUAACUCCGUGCCAGCAGCCGCGGUAAUACGGGAGAUGCGAGCGUUAUCCGGAUUUAUUGGGUUUAAAGGGUGCGUAGGCGGUCUGUUAAGUCAGCGGUCAAAGCCCGGGGCUCAACCCCGGCCCGCCGUUGAAACUGGCAGUCUCGAGUUGGAGAGAGGUAUGCGGAAUGCGCGGUGUAGCGGUGAAAUGCAUAGAUAUCGCGCAGAACUCCGAUUGCGAAGGCAGCAUGCCGGCUCCACACUGACGCUGAGGCACGAAAGCGUGGGUAUCGAACAGGAUUAGAUACCCUAGUAGUC